CCUACGGGCGGCUGCAGUGGGGAAUAUUGCACAAUGGGGGAAACCCUGAUGCAGCGACGCCGCGUGAGUGAAGAAGUAAUUCGUUACGUAAAGCUCUAUCAGCAGGGAAGAAAAUGACGGUACCUGAGUAAGAAGCACCGGCUAACUACGUGCCAGCAGCCGCGGUAAUACGUAGGGGGCAAGCGUUAUCCGGAUUGACUGGGUGUAAAGGGAGCGUAGACGGUGCGCCAAGUCUGGAGUGAAAUGCCGCAGCUUAACUGCGGAACUGCUUUAGAAACUGGCGAACUGGAGUGCGGGAGGGGUAAGCGGAAUUCCUAGUGUAGCGGUGAAAUGCGUAGAUAUUAGGAGGAACACCGGUGGCGAAGGCGGCUUACUGGACCGUAACUGACGUUGAGGCUCGAAAGCGUGGGGAGCAAACAGGAUGAGAUACCCGGGUAGUC
rnacentral:rRNA from 1 species